AACGAACGCUGGCGGCGUGGAUAAGACAUGCAAGUCGGACGAGAUUUUUCGUUGUAGCAAUAUGAUGGGAAGUUUAGUGGCGAACGGGUGCUUAACACGUGGGCAACCUGCCAGGAAGUGGGGGAUAGCUCGCCGAAAGGCGAAUUAAUACCGCAUGUGAUUAGAGAGGACAUCCUUUCGAAAUUAAAGUCGGGGCAACCUGACGCUUCUUGUGGGGCCCGCGGCCUAUCAGCUAGUUGGUGGGGUAACGGCUCACCAAGGCUUUGACGGGUAGCUGAGCUGAGAGGACGCCCAGCCAAACUGGGACUGAGACACGGCCCAGACACCUACGGGUGGCAGCAGUCGAGAAUUUUUGACAAUGGGGGAAACCCUGAUCGAGCGACGCCGCGUGGAGGAUGAAGGUCUUCGGAUUGUAAACUCCUGUCAUUGGGGAACAAUGCGUGACGGUUAACUGCCGUCGCGUUGAUAGUACCCGAAGAGGAAGAGACGGCUAACUCUGUGCCAGCAGCCGCCGUAACAC
rnacentral:rRNA from 1 species